UUCCACCAUGGCCGCCGCCCCCUCCCCUUCCACCGUGGCCGCCGCCCCCUAUCGCCCGACGGCGAGCCCGCCCUCCCGUCCCCCUUUCCUCUGGUCGCCCUCACGCACUGCAUCGCCUCCUGGUCGCGCUCUCUCUCUCUCUCUCUCUCUCUCUCUCUGUAUUCCCCCCUGCCCCCACCACCACGGCCAACUCCGGCGAGGUCCGUCGCCAUACAGCACAUCCACGAGCUCAUCUCGUGACGCUGCUCCUUCUCCACCGCGUUGACCCGACGCGCCUCCCCUCUACGCGCGGCCCCGGCUAACCCUAGCGCUACGGUCGCCGGUCCACGGCGUCGCCAUCAACGCCGGCGCUGCGCCCGCACCUCCGGUUGGUCCUCCCCGACCCCGUCCGAACUUUCGCGCACUGCAUCGCCUCCUGGUCGCUGUCCAGGCGUCGCCAUCGACUGGAGGAGCGCGGGACCGUCGUCCUCGCGUUCGUGCACCUCCAGGAAGAAGACUGCUCGAGGUGAGACGCCUCGGAUCCGUCGUGCGAAGGUGGAGCUUGACAUAUAGGUCAGGGUAUGUGUGUGUGCAGCAGCUCCAGAGGGACGAACGUCAAGGUAGCCACUGCUCCGUAGCUGGUCUGGGAUAUGAGUACGGCCCUUGAUUCGUGCCGCCUGUUUUCUCUGCCGAAGUCGUGGUUGCGUGGAUGUGGCAAUGGUCGAAGGGUCGUCACCAGGGUGGCACCGGCGCCUCCCUUCCCUCUCCCCUAGAUCUGGAAGGUACCGUCUCGGGCUUCCCAGAUCUGUUGGAUCAAAAAUUGUGGGUGAUGGAAUCAAAAUUUGUUGGAUCAGAAAUUGCGGUUGAUGGAAUUAAAACUUGGAUGUGAUCAAAUUAGAGAGGACAUGGCGUACUGAUUACUGAAAGGAAUCUGUGAGUUCCUGCAAGAUGCAUCUCCAACAUUUCUUGUGCAGCUUUCUCCUGGAACCGUUGUUAUGAACCAAUCAACUCUUUGAGAAUUAAAGUUUGCCAACCUCGCCUGUUCGAACUUUGAACCCAAGACGCCACUGCUUCUUCUAGGUCCCGCAGCUUGAUCCCGCCAAGAGCAGGCUGGAGGAGGAAGCAGAGAGGGAGAUGGGAGAGGGAGAGGAGAUCUCGGCCUGCACACUGCACCCCGCGUCUCCCACAAGCUACAACAACAGGAGAACCGUAUACACAGCAUCCUUCUCAAAGCCUGCAGCUACUGCCUCCCCAAGCAAUGCCAACCUGCAGCAACAAGAGGCUUACAUCCUUGUGAUUCCUCAUGACUCGGAAGGAGGAGCACGGGCCGUAGAGACGGAAGAGGAGGUUGAGACAGUCACGGCGCCUGCUGCAAUGACCACGGCCACUACAUGAAAAGAAAGACAACAAAAUCUAUUAGGCCUACUCAUGCUGGAUUUGGGCUCAGCCCGAUUACAAAACAGUAGCAAAUGAGAGGAAUACAAGAAGUCAAGAAGACCCUUCUCUCCAUGUCUUAAGUUUCACACUACCUCGCCUGGAUCCGGAACUGCGGCUACAGUGACCUCAACAUAGUCUAGGUAGACACCCAGUGGUUAAGACUGUGUAGUGAGCCAUGCCUUUGUGAGAGGACCAAGAAAAGAAAGGCAUGUUGUACCUACCCUACAUUGACAGUCAUUAUUAGCCCAUUGUGGUACUUCAAAUCUGAUAAAGAAUAUAUUUCAUGUCUGAGACAUGAGAUUUGGAGUCUCGGUUCUGAUAUAUUUAUACAUGCUGGGUCAUGGCACUUGGACGGGCAAUGUGCGCCAAGGCGCGCUUUGGUCUAGGGCCACAAUAACAACAAUUGGUCAAGCUUUGUCGAGGCGGCAGGGAUCAGGGAGUAUCAGAUAUGUUCCUUUGCCUUCGAAACUUCAAGUGCAUUGUCUAUAGAGAAAUCAUUAUAUGCCAUAUAUCUCACAUAUUGUUUGCAUCAGGUUGCCUAUGAAGCUCAUUGACAAGGCAGUUGAAUGAAGCCACUUAUUUGCAUUGUAGUUCGUUCUGUUUUAUCAUGCUCAUACUCUAUCCAUUGCCUCUCUCGCAUUCACGCUUUUAGUAUCAGACUUAAUGUCAAGUGUGUUUUGUGUUCUCGUGAAUGCACUAAACUCGAUGCUGCCUUACGAUAAUGUUAUGGUGAUGUUGAAUUCCA